CGGUUGUUUUGGAGAGCUGUAGGGCCCGUGCUGGCACGCAAGCUACGAAGCCAGGAACGAGGACAGUAGUGGAUGAGGGCGGCAUCUGGGGAUGAGUCACGAAGUCUGCCCCUCCCCGCCAGCUCCGACCGUGAGACGCGUCGCGGCACGUGACUCACCUGAAGGCUUGGGCAUCUGCUCCUUCUGCUCGUUCAUUUGCUUGAUUGCUACCGCAACAUCUGAGAAGAGGACUGGACCCAAAGACAGGCUGAGGCUGGUGGUUCGGACCCCAAAGACAGGCUGAGGCUGGUGGUUCGGACCCCAAAGACAGGCUGGAUCCCGUUGACUGGAGCCAAACACAGGCCUGGGUCUUCAGUCCAGACUGUAUCAGUUUCAGGUACCUAGCUGCCCGCCCGGCGCUCGAGUCAUGGCAUUUUGUCUCGGUGUUUCAUUCUUCUUCGACAGACAUGCUUGGACACAGAAAUGAUAAAGGCAGACAAGGGCUUAAGUCCAGGGGUGCGACUGCAAGGCCCAAAUCCACUCACAGCUGUCCUGUCCCAGUGGCUGUGCGAGCUGGUGGGUCUGGCUCUUGUCUGCGUUAGCUGGGGUGCUCACCAUUACCGGGGUCCCCCGCCCGGGCAGGUGGUCUUCAGCCCUCUCCUUCAAAGGACUCCAUGUUGAAGUGGCCUGCACAGAUUGUGCAGAAUGAUUUUGCACAAUUCAUGUGCCCUUUCGGGUACUGUUGGAAAGGAAGUUGAGAAGUCUGACUUGCAAUACAUACGUCGGUGAGAACACAGGAACUAACCUAACCAUUUCAGGACCAUCGCUUGAAUGUUGAAACAACUGUUCAGGUAGUUGAACUUUCCAGUGUGUUGGCUUUCCAACUGCCAGACAAGAAGAUCACUUAGCUGAGUGGAGUGGACGUGGCUGUCCAGGUCUGGUCAUCUUCAGCAGCAGACUUUUAUAACGGAGGAUUUCUGGCUUUUAGUGGCAUGAGUUGUUACCGACUUCCUGCACUGAGAACUGCGCACCUCAGCAGCUCCACCUGCCACUUCAGAUGCCAACUCGAGUUCCACACUUGUCGUCUUUAUCCGGUGAAGACAAACAGCACACACAGAGAAAUCACACAGAGGACUUGUAAUGGAGCCCUGAAGUGGAUGGCAUGUGAAUUAUUUCAAUAACAGAUCGUCUUGGACUGUGCUCUCCAUCGGAAGGGUGUUGCUAUCUCCUCAGGUCUCUCGACCAGCGCAGGUUGUCCUUCCUCACUCCAGACCUGUUGUGUUCUCUGAAUGAGGUAUUGCUGUAUAAGUAAGCCAUGCAGUAGCUCCGCCUCUCAAAAGAUCUUUCCAGAAAGCUGGAUAAGGUUCUCAUUUGCUCACAUUUGUAUGAGGUAAGUGUCCUCAUGGGGUUUGUGGCACAAAGCUUUGUGUGUUUGUUUCACCGGUUGCUACAGUGAAUGUGUUUUGAUUCAACGACUAUGAUGACCUGGAUUAUUAUCAUCUCACUUUCCCUCCCGCUAUUCCCCCAUACGUUAUGUUUCACACCAUAGUAACCCGUGCCUCCUCUCCCGGACUCUCACAGUCUAAGAGGCUCAGGUCCUCCAGGCUGUAAUGCGCUUCUCAAGUGUCUGCUGCCCUAUUGUGGGUACACAGAGAGAGAACGUGUCACCUCUCGGAUCUAGAUGAAUGGGUUUUGUUUUAUUUUUCUUUGACCGGCGCCUGUUUACUUAUUUGAGAAUCUCUCCAGUUUGACCAGUCCAGUUUCUUAACUGAAAUCCUUAUCUGUUAGGACUGUGCUGAGACUCGAGCGGAGUCUUACUGAGUUAGUUAAGGGGACGAGCCAUCAUGUCCGGUGUCUCGCAGUCAGUGUCCAUUUCAAUGAGCUCAAGUGCUGGAGAACAAAGGCCUUUGGAAGGACCAGCCAUUACAUUUCUUUACGCUCGCAGAUUAUUUUCGUGUUUUGUUUCUGCUCACAGCCCGGGUGUCUCUCUGGGCUGCACUAGGGUGGCAGCAUUGGCACAGCUGCUGUUAUACUGCCAGUGUCUACCCUGACAACCAACGAGUUUCAAACCAGAGAAUCAGCCCUUGAGGAUACACGUGGAUCUCCAGAGCCUACUGAAGCUUCAAUAUUUGCCUGUUUAUUGAUAUUCAAGAAAGGACAAAUGGAGGACAGGAAACUAAAACAGUAACAACCAGCAAAGUUUAAUCAAUUUUUAUUUCACUCAACUAGGCACUAAAUUUACGCCAGAGGAGGAUGUCUGCAAGAUAAAGCACCGCCACCACACACCUGGGCUCCUUAUCAGGGUAAUAAACAGCAGACAGAGCCAGCGGUGUGACAGUAGUAAUGACAUCCAUGAGCUGAAGUGCCCGUGCAAUGCUGGCAUUAGUCAUUUGAAGUGACAGAUUAUUUUUCAAGGUGCCAUGGAUAUGUUCCAUCACUUUAGAAGCAAGUCGGACAAGACACUUGGCAAUGACGUGUGAUUCGUCAAAGACCAAGCUGAACAUGACGGUGUAAGUAGCACAAACAAUCAUUAAGAGGAGCCUUAGAAGGAAAGCUGAUUGCUGUCCCUUGGGCUUGUGAUCCAACUCAGUGCCCAUUUCUAUGAGCACAUGUGCUGGGGAACGAACUCCCUUGGAGGACUCAUCAGCCACAGCCAUCGUCAUUGUUCAGUCACGCAGUUUGUUUUCGUAUUUUGUUUCCUUCAACAGUCCUGUGUCUCGUUGGAGAGAAGUAAAGAGAGAGCAGCGGCACAGCUACAUUUAUACUUUAGGUGUCAGCCUGGAAGGGGGAAGAAAGCAGCCCCGUCGAGGUUAUCCCUAGAGAGUUUGUCAUUGCGGUGAUUCGGAGAGCGUGGCGCCGAAGGUGGCCAGAGCCCGACGGGGUUAUUUCUUGUGAGUUUGUCAUCGCUGUGGUUCGGAGAGCGUGGAGUUGAAGGUGGCCAUGGACCGACGGGGUUAUUUCUGGAGAGUUUGUCAUCGCGGUGGUUGGAAGAGCGUGGAGUCAAAGGUGGCUGGGGCCAAUGGGUGACCCUGGGAAGUGUGUGAUCGCACCCGUCAGGGACGUUGGACAGGAGGGCAGCUAAACGGAUGGAGGCUGAUCAAAGGGGAGUUCGUUAUUAGUUGUGGUGGCAUAAAUUUACUUUGGUGACUGAUCACGACCCCCCUGCAGACAAUAUGAUACACACUCCCGUCACACAAGCUGGUUUGUUAGCUUGCAGAUGUUUCAUUUAAUUGUCUGUCAUCAUCCCGGUUCUGCGCUCGUCAAUGUCGAUGUCCUGUCUCGGUUAGCCAUGCCCGGUUUAGUAGUUCACGAAGUUGUGAACAGAGCUGAGGGUGGGAGUGUGACCGCUACAGCUUGGGAACGCAGCCAAACUUCAGAAAUUCUCUCCUGGAAAUAAACUCACUCUUGCACACUGUACUCCCUCCUCUACACAGCAUCAGCUGCAGGUUUGCUAGCGCAGCGCUUCGAACAUUUAAAGGACCGAGCUGCGACCGUGCUUGGCUUCAACGACUAUGAUGACCUGCAUUAUUAUCAUCUCACUUUCCCUCCCGCUAUUCCCCCAUACGUUAUGUUUCACACCAUAGUAACCCGUGCCUCCUCUCCCGGACUCUCACAGUCUAAGAGGCUCAGGUCCUCCAGGCUGUAAUGCGCUUCUCAAGUGUCUGCUGCCCUAUUGUGGGUACACAGAGAGAGAACGUGUCACCUCUCGGAUCUGGAUGGACGGGUUUUGUUUUAUUUUUCUUUGACCGGCGCCUGUUUACUUAUUUGAGAAUCUCUCCAGUUUGACCAGUCCAGUUUCUUAACUGAAAUCCUUAUCUCUUAGGACUGUGGUGAGACUCGAGCAGAUUUUUUUUAAACGAUCUUAUUAGUGAUAGAAAGAUUGAUUUUAUUGCGCUAAAUGAAACAUGGCUUAA